GCCUAUAUAAGUCAAUACGAUAUAGCAUAAACGUUACACAAUAGUUUUCAAGAAUGCAAAUAACUUUAAGGACAAGAGCAUACAAAAAUUCAAAGCAGUAAUAUAAAGCUCAAUUGAAUAAGAAAACUAAAGGAUAUCAAUUUCAAAAGGAAUAAAACCAGAAUAUGAGAAAUCGACCAAAGCUCGAUUUCUGGCAGAAUACAAGAGGCACAUUGAACAAAUGAUUCAAACUAUCAAUCGUGCUCCAAUUUACUCAAAAAUAUAUCAUUGGAUUAUACUUUCAGAUAGGACAAGCUUCAUAUGAAUUGAACUGUCCAAUAGAGAGAGUUACAAAUAAUUUGGUAAACAAGGGUCGGAGAACAAAAUCUCUAUUUGGCAGGAUUCAUAAGGUCAGAUUCAACAGAUAACUGGGCAGGUGUUUGGAUUCCAAAUCUUUCAAUCCAUAUAUCAAAAGAAAGAUCUACGAGUCUAGUUUCCAAUGAAAUCAAUUUUGAACAAAUCAGAGUUUCCAACAAAGACUUAUAGGCAGCUCGAUAUCAAAAGGUCAGAAUCUCAGAAGUUGCACAGAUUCGAAUCGUUAUGUCUAAACAGGAGAUAUAUCAAAUGCAAGGCUAGAACAAUUCAAAGUUCCUCAUUUUCAAAGCAAAUGUAGAGAUAAAAU
rnacentral:lncRNA from 1 species